UCUGGGAUAGCUCAGUUGGUAGAGCAUGAGACUCUUAAUCUCAAGGUCAUGGGUUUGAGCCUGACGUUGUGCAAAA
rnacentral:tRNA from 1 species